CGCCCCGCGCCCGCAGAGGACUUCACCCCCAGGCUGGCCGCUGGUGCGGAUUUUGAUCUCCUUUACUGCUUUAUGGCCGCUGCGGGGCUGUGAUCUUCGAUCCGCAGCGACGGCACCUGGGAGCUUCGGCGAGGCCGGGGCGGCCGGAUCGCGUUGGGUCCGCGUGGCGCAGGGCUCGGCCUCUCCCGGCUCCUGCGGGUCCACUGAAGCCCGAGGCCCGGCCUCCGGGGCUGCUUUUCCCAGCCCCUUACCCGAGUGAAGAGCCGUCUGUAGCCCGGCAGCCGCCCCCUCCCUGCUUCCGCCGGUCCCUGAACACCCCUGUGACCCGGGAAGCGCAGGAAGGGCAGGCGCUGUUCGGCGCGUUUGACCGCCGAGGAAACCAAAGCGCGUGUUUAGCUGUUACCUUUUGGUAGGCUUCGAAGGGACACAGCUGAGCUCACAGCAAGACCGGUGUUCGCCGAGGAACAGGCCGGUCCUCCCCAGAUACACCACGGGGCGUCCCUGGAUCCCUGCCAUGGACGAGGGUCCUCCUGCUGCUGGUGCAGUGGACAGGGGCCUGCGUCUGAACCCCGGGGCUUCGGUCAUCGCCAGUGACUCUGGGCAGUGUGAAUGCCACCCCUCAGCGUCUUCUCAUUUCGGGUUGCCAUGAGAAGUUAGCUGAGUGCCUUGCCCAAGAGAUGUGUCAGAUGAAUCAAGUUGAGUCUGAUCGCCUCAGCAGAGAAGGACCAUUAGUCAAGAAGCAAAUCGGGCCUCUGGUGACGUUUGCAUUAUAAAAAGUACUUCUAAAAAAUGGAAGCUUUGUGAUGACAGUUUUGUGUCCAUUUUCUGUUUAUUCACUGCUGUGUCCUCAGUGCCUAGGAUAUUGUCAUUCAAUAUAAUGUUUGUCAAAUAAAUGAAUUUACUAGCUUAAGUGAGAAGCUCUGGAAUGAUCAGAGGACAUAAGUGAGGAAUUGGUUAAGUAAAUUAAUGGUCCCUCCAUAUGAUGGGAUACUGUUCAACAUUUAAAGAGUAUGGCCCUGGAGUGCCUGACUGGCUCAA